GUUGGCCAGGCUGGUCUUGAAUUCCUGAUCUCAAAGUGCUGGGAUUACAGGCAUAAGCCACUGAGCCUGGCCUGCUACAUUUGUUUCUGAACCUCUUCAAGCCUGAGAUACUUGUUAUUGUAGUUAUGCAAUUCAGUCUGAGAGACAAUAUAUUUAUUACAAUAAUAAAAUUAUUAAACAAAUAUUUAUUGAAUGACAAUUAGAGACCUGCUAUUCUAUGCACUGGAAUGCAUCUGUGAACAAACAGAUGAAAAUGCCUGCCUUCAUAGAGCUUGAAUUCUAAUAAGUAAAAUAUAUAGAAUGUCAGAUAGGUGGGCUAUGGGGAAAAAUAUUGUGGAGGUGGAACGGAUAGAAAAGGCUCAAUAGGGGAUGAAGGUGGCUACUUUAGAUAGGGUGAUAGGGAAGGCUUCACUGAGAAGGUGACAUUUGAUCAAAGACAUACUGAAAGAGGUAAUUAUAAGGAGCUAGCCUGGUGGAUACCCAAGGGGAGAGAAUUCCAGAGAUAGGGAGCAGAAAUGUAAAGUCUGAAGCAAGAGCUCCUAUGGGCAUUUGAGGCAGUGCAUGGAGGAUGGCAAGAGAUAGGUCAGGGAGGAUGGCAGGGGUCAGAGCAUGGUGAGCCUUGUGCAGACUUUAGCUUGUCCUUUCAGGAAGGUGGAUGAGCCAUUGGAGGUGCCAGAGAGGAGGAAUGGCAACACUGGACUUAUCAUCUAAUUAAACUGCUGAAAUGAGAGUGUGCUUGUUUCCAGGGAAACUAUAUUAAAUACUUUAAAAAGACUCCAUAGGGAGUAAGAAAUGACCAGAAGGGACUAAAAAUAACUUGAAAAACACUGAAUAAUCUAUUUUGGGGUGUGUUUCUUACUCCAUAAUACCCAUGCACCCCUGGGCUCACAAGACUUUCUCUAAAGUCAGCCCUUGUGGAACACAGCGUGACUGUUAAAUCAGGAAUCCAUCAGAGGGAAACUACCUAGGUAAUAGGUUUAACUGUGAUGUCCAGUGUGAGGAGGAAAAUUAAUUUUUCAUUUCAAAGUUUUCACACACCUUCUGUUCUUUUCCAACUAUAUCAAGUAUUGAAAAAACUCUCCUUUUGCAUCACCACAAGCAAACACAUAUCCUUUUGAAAGUUCUUCCUGGGAUCAAUGACUUGACUCUUCACUUCAAUUUUUCUGUCUGUGAAAUGGAGAUGAACUAUUUACUUCUCAGGACUGUUGUGAAGCUUAAAGGAGAUGAACAUGAAGCAACUCGUCCAGUGCUGUGACUUACAGUGCUCAAUAAAGGUUGGCUGCUAUUAUUGUUGUUCUAUAGCAGUGACGACUGGCAAGGUUGGAUAAAUGACUCUUCUUCCCUGGAUCAAAAGUGUUAAGUGUUGGGAUUUUCCUACUUGGGAUACUUUUGCUGAGAAAUGCUGACAAAGUGAAUCACAAGGCACUAACUCUUAGCAAAUUUGAAAGAAUAUUUUUCAAGGAUAAUUUAAAAAUGUGGAAUGUUGACUAUAUAUAACACUGCAGGAAAAUCCAGGCUUUGGAGUUUGAAUCUUGGCACCACUACAUACAUGCUGUGUGGUCUCAGAUAUAAUACUUUAUACAGCCAGGUGUCACUUUCAUUAUCUACUUAAUUGGGAUUAUAUUUCUCCUAGGUUUGAUGUGACAGUUAACUGAGAACAUACUUGUGAAAGAACCCAGAACUGUCCCUGCAAGGAACACGUACUCACAUCAUUCAGGUGGUAACAAGAUGUCGGAGUAGAAAUGAGUGAGUUAUAGAGUCCAGGGUCUUGGUUCAGGUUCUGGCCCUGUAAUUACUAGCUGUAUAGCUUGGAGUAAGUCACUUGAAUGAAAUGAGGUCUCAGUUUCUAAAUUAGUAAAUUAAGAGAGUUAGGUUAGCUUUUCUCCAAGAUUCCUUAGCCCAGUAUCGUGUAGUAGAGCUUUCUGUGAUGAUGGGAAUGUUCCAUAGCUGUGCUGUCCAGUGUGGUAGCUACGAGCCACAUGUGGUUAUUGAGUACUUGAAGUGUGGCUGACGAUACUGAGGAACUGAAUUUUAAAUUUCACUUAAUGUCAAUGAAUUAAAGUUUAAAUUUGAGUAGCCACAUAUAGAUAGUGGCUACUAUAUUGGACAGUGCAACAUUAGAGUUUUAAAAUUCUUAACGUACUCUAGUACUUAAAAUACAGCCUCAUGAAUGGUUCUCACCCUGGGUGGAAGCUUACUGGAGUACUUUUAGCAGUUGUGAGAAAAGUAAUACAAAGUUUGUUAUAGUACCUAAGUUUGCUGUUUUUGUUUGUUUAUAUAAUUUGAACAGUUUUGAAGUCAACACAGUUACAACACUACUCUCUCCAUAUUGCUAAAUAUGUUUUCUUUUUUGUUGUCGUGGUUUUUUUUUUAAACCAAGCAAUUGUUAUGGAUCAAUGCUUUCUUGAAUAAAAGAAAAGGAGUAAAAUUACAGUUAAUUGUACAUAUUCCAUUAAAAAUUUUAUAAAUUUUUUAACUCAUGGGAGUGUUAUCCAUCAUUUAUAUUAGAGCAGAAAAAGAUUUGAGAACUUCUGGUCUAAUCUGUAGACCUUGUAUAUUAGGGCUAAGGAGGUUUAAGGGAGACCAUUAGAGCUCUUCAAUGUUAGAGUCUUUUUAAAAAUUGGUGUGCUAUAGUGUUACUUUUUAAAACUUGAAACAGUUAACACACAAGAGAUAGCCCUGUAGAAAUGAAAAUGUCUCAGAACUGCUUUGUCCUUGUAUUCAUCAACGUGCUCAAGAGAUUUUGUGGAGAAGAGAAAUGAAAAUUUGGAAGCUUUCCCUAUUCAGUGUUUGAAAUCACCACAAACAAUUAGUGAAUGGUGGCUAGUGGCUGCUGUUGAAACAUCUUGAACUUCUCCAGCAGUGGGGAGAAUACUUGGUGUCCUGAGGAUGCACUCAGCGGGGAAGCAAUACAAUCAGCCAUUCCUUAAUUUCCCUAAAGGUAUUGGGUAAUUUCUUAAUACCCUUGUAUUGAAUAUUGUAGGAUAUCACCAUUUUAAGUUAUAGUUUAGCAAAAAUUCAUCAUUUUUUAUGCCUCUGGUCUUUAUUUUAAAAUACGGAGUAAUAUGCUUUUAAAUGGGGGAUGCCACUCUUUAUUAAAAUGUACUUAUUUUGUGAUAAAAACUUAUUUUUUUUGCAACACAUCCUUACUGUGCUAGGUGUUGUCAUAAAUUUAGCAAGGUAAUGAGCUCCUUUAACUAGAGAUAUUCAAGUUGAGACUAGACAAACAGAAUCGGGAUGAGUUAGCAGUGGCAGGCUUUUCUGAUUUGGGUUCUCACCUGUGGAUAGAAGGUUAGAGCUGUGUGUUUCCGCCUAAGGAAAGAAGCCCUUACAGAAGGUGAAAAAAAUCUCCUGGCACUAGAGUGUGCAGUGAAGGGUUUCUCCCCAUUUAGUUCCUCAAAGGGAGUAACUUUGUACCUUUAAGUGUCAGGUAGUGAGAAUUGGGCUCUAGCUGUCUCUGAGAAUUUUUUUGUCCUUGCUGGGUUUUUAUAAAUUGUCCAUCAUAAUUAGAUGUGCUGGUUUCCUAUUUGGGAAUUUAUAUGUUCUUAGAAUAAUUGUAUGAGAGGAAUAAUACAAGAGAUUUUGUACUUUUAUUGAUGAAUAAUCCAUAUGCAUUUUUAUUCUUAUUCAUAUUUGUGUGGUAGGAACAGAUGUUUUAAGUUAACAAACACAUUUCUUAUGCUUUGUUUUGAAUUUAGAAGAUGCAGUUGAGCUUGGAAGCCAUAUUAAUUUGCUCAAACUAUGUUACGUUUUAUCAUAUAUCUCAAUUUUCUGGUCACACCAUACACUUCCCUCACUUUUUCUUAAGUUUGUGACAUUUUCACACCAAAUUGUCUUACAACUUGAUAUUUUUAUUUAUUCUAUUUCUCUGUUUAUAACUACAAAGUACAUACAUAUGUUUAUUUUCUAUGUGAUACAUUUAUAUAUGCAUGUGUAUAUAUGUAUAAAUCCCCAUAAUAGAACUGUCACUAAUUUAUGACACCUUAUGGUAUUAUCAUGUUAUAGUUUAGUUACUUUUAGAAGUUCUCUGCUUACCAAGGGAAAGAUAAUAUAUAAAUAUCAAAUGACAAUUGAGUUAAGCCAGCUUAUGUUUUUCUGAAAUUUCAGUUACAAAUGUCUGAAGAAAAGUUGACUUUGAAAAUUUUAUGUGGAUGACAUUUUGUUUCUGUGACACUUAAACAUAAAAUUGGCACAAAAUAAAAUUUUAAAAAAUAA